UGUAGCAUCUUGGCAACUGAGUAAGGCACCAAAUCUCACCUGGUCUUGGCAGCUGAGCAGGAUCAGCCCUAGUUAGUACUUGGAUGGGAGACCUCCAACAAAUACCAGUUGAAGGCACAC
rnacentral:rRNA from 11 species